AAAGCCUGCUAAACUCCAUCUGAUUUCAGCCUUCAGCUCCGUAGCCUUUCAUUCCUGGCCUAGGGCAGCUCUCCAAAGUCAAAUUAAGAUUGGCCUUACACAAACCUGAGGCCCUUGGUUAAAGUGUUUUGUGGUUCUAUUUAAAGAGAUCUUGGAACUAUACACGGAUCCAUAUCACAUUCUGAUUGAGGAUUCCAGAAGUCACAGAAUAGGAUUAAAUGCAGGGGCAAAGUUGUGCUGGGCUUGGUUGCUAAAAAUGGUGGGGGCCAAAGUGUCACAGAGCUGGGAUGAUGGGCAGAAACCCAGGGGUGGGUGGGCUUCUCAUCCUGGAGCUCCUGGACCCUGUGCCUCUAUCCAGGGAGGUCAGAGAGCAACUUGGCUUAUGACUGCUGGAGUGAGCAGAAGUACAAAUAAGACUGGAGGGGUACUCUCCAGCACUCAGCCAGACACGGGGAUCUAAAGGUGCCACAGGGAGUUAUAAAUCCACCUGAAGCCUUGGGGUGUUCUUUGUUUGGGUGGAUACAACAAGAAUCAGUGCUCAUUUAAUACUGUUUUCUAUCUCUUACCGUAUAGCCUAGAAAUAAGUUUUUAUAUUUUCUUUAUACAGAAAGUGUUUUCAGACAAAGGAGGAAAAAAAAAACAAUUGCAACUUAGUAGGCCAAUUCCAAAUGCAAAUAUUUCAAACAAUAUGAUAUCAAUAAAUCAGACAGACACUGGAGAAGUGAAAUAUUCAUUCUCUCCCCUGCCAGGUGAUAAGGCAAAGAGCCUUGAUACUUUUUUCACAGGCAGCAUGAAAACUCAGCCAUCUCUGUAAGAAGUGGAAAAAAUAGUUAUUUCAUUUCUGAGUCACCUAGCUGUGUAUGUUAGGGGGAAGGCUCUAUGGAAGUGGUUUCCAAUCUUGGCUGUAUAUUGGAAUCCACUAGGGAGUUAAAAAAAAACAAAAAACAAUGAUGCCAGGGUUCUACUCCCAGACCUGAUCUCAUUGGUCUGCAGUUUCAGUUGGGUGUGAGGAUUUUUUUAAAGCUCUCUGGCAACUGUAAGAUGUUGCCAAGCUUAAGAAGCUCUGAUUGGUGGGGGCUGUAGAGGGGGUUUCAUAAACUAGAAUCCACUAACAAAGUUAUAGAAUGACAGGCUUGACUAUUAGGUCAGAAAGGGAGCUUUCUGAAAAAAUACUAUUGCUUAGACCUCAAAAACUCAGAGGUGGGCCUCAGAUUUAGCUCAGUGGUGCCACACCUGCCUGGCAGGACCUGCAAGGUCCUGAACCCACAGGUUUGAGCUCUAUUAAACUGGGCUGGGAUCUAGGAAUGAUAUUUUUAGUUCUCCUGUUGAUUUUCAUAUGCAGUCAGGGUCAAAACACUGUUAUAGGGUACAUGUAUGUAAUCUGAACAUAAUCUAAUUUUUAAAUAUAUUUCAGAUUUAUGUACCCAAACUCAGAAAAGUCAAAUAAUACAUAAUUUAGGUAUUAAUAAAUACCAAGACAAUUAUUUCUUUUAUCUAAAUGACUACUAAGAAACUUGUACCUUUCCAUAGAAGACUAUAAUAAUCAAAACUUCAUUUCAAAACCCCCAUUACAUGAUACUAAGUCAUGUGUCCCAUUUUACAGAAAUAAGAGAGUGCAGCAGCUCAAGUAAAAGUGGAAGUACAAGGAACAGAACUCAGAGAAGUCAUGAAACUAAUUCCCUUCUAUGGUCGGCGCGGGAGCCGCCCAGCAGGAGGAUGCGCGUGCUCUGAGAAUGGUUGUUCUGGCAGGCCAGGUGCAGAGCUGUGUUCCCUGCCUUGGAGAGAGGCAGAAAGAAGGGAGGACACAUUAGCGACAUGCUUCUGCACAGACCUGCACACUUUGCCGAGAAGUGGUCCUCACCCAUUGGGAAGAAGUCAGUACUCACUGCUCUGCCUCCUGAGGGGGUCAGGAGAGUGGUUCAGAGGAAAAAAAAAUUUUUUUUUUUUGGUACCGGGGAUCAAACAUGGGUCCUUGUGCUUGUGCAGCAGGCGGCGAAACCACUGAGCUAAAUCCCUGGCCCUAGAGGAAAAAUAUUGAAUGUGGAAUGCAAACAAGCAGAAGAGUUCCAUGUCACGUAAAACCUUGGUUGUAAGUUCUAGCUCUGUCUCUUACUAGUUGAAAGCCACCAGGCAAAGCUCUUCAAAUGCUCAGGCUCCAUUCCUCACCUGGAAAGUGGAGCAUGAGCCCUCCCUCCUGAGCCUCUGAGGACUCAGAGAGUCUUGGAAGGCAUAUUCUGAAGCAUAAAGUGCAGUAGCACAUGGACAGGGCCGUGAAUCCCUCUUAGAGAUUACUUCCUUCCCAGCAGGAGUAUUAGCUGUGGCUACAAUAUACUACCAAUGGUGGAGUAAAAAAGGCAAACAGACCACUUCCUGAAAGUGCCAGUUAACAGUAACUUAGAUAUAACUUGUAAGCAUUUAUCAAAUUUCCUUUUUUUGUUUUUGUUUUCUUGUUUGAGACAGGGUCUUGCUAUGUAGUCUAGGCUGGCCUUGAACUCAUCUGUGUAGCCCAGGCUGGCCUCGAAUUCCCAGUGAUCCUCUUCUCUCAGCCUCUUGAGUGUUGGUAUUACAGGUAUGUUCCAGUCUUCUUGGCUUUUCUUGUAUUUUUCUUGAAACAUCAAAAACUGAAUGAUGAACAAGGUGUCCGCCUGACAGGAAAUACUGUAAAUGCAGUUGUAUCUGCCACUUCCCACAGAGAGAUCCUCUUGCUUUUUUGGACUUUCCUUGCAACAUGUUACCUCACAACGACAACCAGGGGCAGAAUACUUCCCACAGCGAUUUUGCAGAAAGAACUGCAUAACAUGAACACAAUUUUGUGAUUCUAUGGGAACAGGGCCUGCAAGGCUGCAGUUAACCUCUAGAGAAGUAGUAACAAGAGCAGGAAAGACAAUAGGAGACUUGGCAUCCUCUGAGAGUACCUGCAGACUAGGGAGGCUACAUGCACAGUCUCAGGGUCUGUCCUGCCAAGCUUAGGAGCCAGGUCAGGUGGGAGCUGCAUGGGCACACAGCCCUUAUGGGGCCUCUUGAUUGUUUCUAUCUAGUUUACUUCCCUCUGGAUCUUACAGCACUGUCUGCCAAAACUCCAGGAUAUCAGAUUCCUGACCUUUUGAAAAGAGGAAUUAGCAAGACAGACACAUACAGACAGAUGACACUGUCCAUCACCAGUUCACUUCCUGUCAUAACCUUAGCUCUUACCAGCCUGGAUAGAUCUUUUCUCUGUUACCUGCAGGAACAUGGAAGAUUCUAAGCCUGAAGGUUUGGUGAGCCCAGCGGUUCUCAACUCCUGGCUGCACAUUACAGUCACCUGGGGUUGUGUCUAAGAAAGGCCCCGCACAGCUCCCACUCUUCUGGGGACUCGUCCUGGGCUGGCCUAGUGUUUGCCAAUAUUCUGGGAAAACCAGGACAGUCAGUUAGCCUAGACUUUUUGUUGUUUAAAAUUCCCCAGGAAAAUAUAAUGUGCAGCUAUGUACAAAACCACUGCUAGCUUAAUUUUCAACAAUGAAGAAUCUGCCUACAUUUUAAAUGCUUUGCUCCCAACUUGUGGGUUUCAAGGCAGUCAAUUAAAUAUGUGCUAAAUAAAAGACAAAUCUGAUGGCUUUAGAAAUAUACCAAAGUUUACUCUGCCAAUAACAAAAUCAUGUGGAAAAAUAUUUGGAUAAAGACAAUUAAACACUGUAGAUUUAGAUGGCAACUUGUGUACAUCUCCAGUGGAGUACUAUUUGGCAAUAGAAAGUGCUGAGCUAUCCAUACAUGUAAUCAUACAGAACUGCAAACAUCACACUGAGUGAUAGAAGUCAGACAAAGAAGACGGUAGUUCCAUGAUUCUACUUACACAACAUUUUCCAAAAGGCAGAUCUGUGGUUGCCAGGGGCUAGGAUUGGGUUUUAGGGGACUGCCAUUAAAGGGUACAAAGGAACUUUCUAGGGUGGUGACAAAACUCAUAAGCAAUAUAGUUCAUAUCUAAAAAAUGAAUUUUGUGUAUGUAAAUUCUACCUCAAAACCUAACAUUAAAAAAUGUGACCUUGGCUGGGGAUUUAGCUCAGUGGUUCCGCCACCUGCUUUGCAAGCGCAAGGACCUGAGUUCGAUCCCCAGUACCACAAAAAACAAAAAAAACUCAUGACCUAAAACUCGUAGCAGACAUUUUUGCCAACUUAAGUAAUGGGCACUCAUUUCCUAGACAGAGGCUGCUUUAUUUGUUGAGUAAGAAGGAUCUUUCUACAAUUCUACCACCAGCUGUCUAGGGCAGAAUAUAAAAGCCCUUCUUCUCGGAUGGCCGGAGAUACCAUACCAGUACUUCCAAAGGCUCUACCACUUUAUCUACAGAGAAAACUUGUGGCUUUCCACAAUUCUGUUGGAGCCCUUCAUGAGAUAAAGGCAAAGCGGUGGACCAGACAGACUAGGGCUAGUUUAUGGCCCUAAAUGUGUCAUAAACCACACAUCUUAGUCAAAGAGUCAACUCGCCCACAGCUUAAGCUUACUUAUCCCGAACUGGGACCACGUAUUUCUCACAGCUGGGAUAAAACGAUGAUGUGAUUAUACACCAACUUAUGUUCCAGAUCAUGUACCAGCUUGAAAAAACUGGAGCAGCCACCAGCCUGCCAAGCAGUGAGCCAGGCAUUAUUGGUGAUAUUGCCACACACACUUUGCUUCUUUCCCUCAAGCUUUUGACCCAUGAGGGAAACAGGAGACAUGUGACCAGUGGACAGCAGCACAAAGCUGGGUGCAGUGUCAAGAAAGAGCUGCAGGAAAUAGCCUGGUGGGCCUUCCGGAAGAGAGAGGCUGGGGUCCAGGAUGGAGGUCUGCCGGGAGAUAGGAAAGGCUACUCCUAAAGGAGUAUGUAACUGGAGGAGGAGACACAUGACAGCCAGAGGGCAGCAGGAGGCUGGGGAGCUUUACUGGAAGGUUUCUGAGCUACGAAGAGCAAGAUGGAAAAGGCACUAGACUCAGGCUACUCAAGAUGCCACCAGGUUUCUGAGAUAAUCCAGGGAUGUUUAAUAAUGAGCAUGGAAAGAGGGGCAGAUGGGAGAUAUUAAAGGAACAUCUUACAGUGUGAUGUGACCAGAGGGGGGAGACAUGAAAACAAAAGAGAUGAAACACCUAUUCUGUCCCUAUCUCCUUGAGGACAAGGAUAGCUUGCUUCUUGACACUAAUAAACCACUGGAGAAGCAGGGAGAGCUGGGAGAUUUCAAAGGAGGUCAAAGCCACUGAAGCAGGUUCUCUUGCUCCUUAUGUAGGCUAUUUUCUCUGAAGAGUUUACAGCUCUUACUUUUAUUUCCUAUAGAAAGUGAGCCCCACAGAAGUCACUACAUUGAUGGAGUGUAUUUCUGAUAGAUUGGUUUGUAUUAGAUCUCUUGCCUGAUACUGCUGCUGAAGGUCUUGCAUGGAGAUGUGUAUGUAGGAUCUUAGGCUAGAGAUACUGGGUAUCAGAUCCUACUUUGACACAAAGGUACACACAUAACCAGUAUGUUUUAGGGAAGCUACUUGUUGCUGCUACCCAUUCCAGCACAUCAGAUUCAUUACUCCUUAACUACUAGGUGAGGCCACCACUGUGAUACCAACCACACAAGUGCACUGUGGGAAAUCCUGAGGCCUCUGCAAUCCUUGCCACAGACCCAGCCUGGCAAUCCCAGGACUGAAAAGAGGACAAGCCCUUUUAUGAUCUCUUCUCACCACUACUGCAAAUAUCUCAAGAAUACUGAUAAUGCUUUUUUAACCUUUAAAAUGAGCUUCUCCCAAUUUGUAAAAAAAAAAAAAAAAAAAAAAAAAAUCAGUGGAUUCUGGAAACUUUGAAAAAG